ACUCAAAGGAAUAGACGGGGACCCGCACAAGCAGCGGAGCAUGUGGUUUAAUUCGAAGCAACGCGAAGAACCUUACCAAGACUUGACAUUGUAUGACAGGUAUGGAAACAUACCCUCCUUCGGGCAUACGGACAGGUGGUGCAUGGUUGUCGUCAGCUCGUGUCGUGAGAUGUUCGGUUAAGUCCGGCAACGAGCGCAACCCCUAUGAUAUGUUGCCAAUAUUUAGUUAGGAACUCAUAUCAGACUGCCGUGGAUAACACGGAGGAAGGUGGGGAUGACGUCAAAUCAUCAUGCCCCUUACGUCUUGGGCUACACACGUGCUACAAUGGGCGCUACAAAGAGCAGCAAAACUGUAAAGUCAAGCGAAUCUCAAAAAAGCGUUCUCAGUUCGGAUUGAGGGCUGAAACCCGCCCUCAUGAAGUCGGAGUUGCUAGUAAUCCCGAAUCAGAAUGUCGGGGUGAAUGCGUUCCCGGGUCUUGUACACACCGCCCGU
rnacentral:rRNA from 1 species